GAUCUUCAGGCGCAGUGGAGACACCUGCUUGUCGGUCUGGGCGAUCGGGGGCGGAUGGCCUCUGAUUCUGGGCCUCAGGUUGGGGGCUUGGUGCCUUUGAGGAUCA
rnacentral:tRNA from 1 species